rnacentral:rRNA from 1 species
GACGAACGCUGGCGGCGUGCCUAAUACAUGCAAGUAGAACGCAGUUGCGAACGGGUGAGUAACGCGUAGGUAACUGCCUCAUAGCGGGGGAUAACUAUUGGAAACGAUAGCUAAUACCGCAUACUGUGAGAUGGAACUGCGUUGUAUUAGUUAGUUGGUGAGGUAAAGGCUCACCAGGGCGACGAUACAUAGCCGACCUGAGAGGGUGAUCGGGCACACUGUGACUGAGACACGGACCAGACCCCUACGGUAGGCAGCAGUAGGGAAUCGUCGGCAAGGGACGGAAGGGUGACCGAGCAACGCCGCGUUAGUGAAGAAGGUUUGCGGAUCGUAAAGCGCUGUCGUCAGAGAUGCGGUACCUAACCAGAAAGGGACGGCUAACUACGUGCCAGCAGCCGCGGUAAUAC